GCAUAUCAAAUAAGCGGAGGAAAAGAAACUAACAAGGAUUCCCCUAGUAACGGCGAGUGAAGCGGGAAGAGCUCAAAUUUAAAAUCUGGCAGGCUACGCUUGUCCGAAUUGUAAUCUCGAGAAGUGUUUUCCGCGUUGGCCUGUGUACAAGUCCCUUGGAACAGGGCGUCAUAGAGGGUGAGAAUCCCGUCCUUGACACAGAUACCCAAUGCUUUGUGAUACACUCUCAAUGAGUCGAGUUGUUUGGGAAUGCAGCUCAAAAUGGGUGGUAAAUUCCAUCUAAAGCUAAAUACUGGCGAGAGACCGAUAGCGAACAAGUACCGUGAGGGAAAGAUGAAAAGCACUUUGGAAAGAGAGUCAAACAGUACGUGAAAUUGUUGAAAGGGAAACGAUUGAAGUCAGUCGUGCCUGCCUAGUCUCAGCCUUUUGGUGUACUACUAGGCCGGCAGGUCAGCAUCAGUUUGGGAGGAUUAACAAGGGAGUUAGGAAUGUGGCAACCUCGGUUGUGUUAUAGCCUAGCUUCGCAUUGAUCUUGCUGGACUGAGGAACGCAGUGCGCCCGCAAGGGUUGGUCUUCGGACACAUUCGCACUUAGGAUGCUGGCAUAAUGGCUUUAAACGACCCGUCUUGAAACAC
rnacentral:rRNA from 1 species